rnacentral:misc_RNA from 1 species
GAUGAAGAACGUAGCGAAAUGCGAUAAGUAAUGUGAAUUGCAGAAUUCAGUGAAUCAUCGAAUCUUUGAACGCAUCUUGCGCUCCUUGGUAUUCCGAGGAGCAUGCCUGUUUGAGUGUCAUUUAACUUCUCAACCAGACAUCAGAUUAUCUUUUGAUGCUUGGCUUGGAUCUGGGGGUUGUUUGCAGGCCUUCUUGUUCAAGGAGGUCGGCUCCCCUGAAAUGUAUUAGUGGUAUCUGAGGCUAUCGCUAUUAGGUGUGAUAAUUAUCUAUGUCUUUUGGCAUGCCCCAUGAACAGAUUACACUGCUUCCAACAAAACAAAAACAAUUUUGAUGAAUUUGACCUCAAAUCAGGUAGGACUACCCGCUGAACUUAAGCAUAUCAAUAAGCGGAGGA